AAUAUCUUGGAAAACAGACUUUGUGUGUCUCAGCCCCAAUGGUGAGCUCCAGAGAGAUGGCACACGGCGGUGCAUCAGUUUCAAAGGGGCAAAGAAAAGCAAGACGAGGGUUUCCAGGAAGCUGCCAUACAGCCUGAGUGCUUCGAGCAUUCUGUCCAAGUUGUUUUCCAUGAAAGUGUCUGAACAUGUAAAACUGAGAGAAUUGAGGAAAAACAGUUGUGGGGCUACAAGAGAUAAUAAUGAAUUCAGUUGUAGAGAAGAUGAAUUGAAGAUGUUGUGAUUCAUCAAAGAAUAUAUGACUUCUAGAAAGAAAAUAGGCAUAUGUUCUGGUAUUCAGGAAAGGGGUGUUGGCUAUGUGUGUCACAAGAGGCAGUGACAGGAUGAGAUCAUACUGGAGGAGAAAAUGGAAGAAGAGGGCCAAGAAUGGGACACCUGGGGACAUUGACAUUUAAAGGUCAGUCAGAAGAAAAGCCUGAAAAUGAGGCUGUGAAGGAGUGAGCAGAGAUGAAGGAAGAAAAUGAAGAUAUUGUUGUGUUAUGGAUUCUAAAGGAGGAAAGAAUAUGAAGAAAGUAAGAAAGAUCAACAGGGACAAAUAUGGCAGACAACUUGCGCAAAAAAAGGGUUGAAAGCGUAUGUUGGGUUUGACCACUAGGAAGUCUCUGGUGAUACUGGAAAACAAACAAAUUUCCAUUGGUGAUUUAAGGAGUAAAAAUCAAGUGAGGAAAUAGAUGCAAAGGAUAUCAUCUACUCCUGCAAGAUGGGAAAGAACAGAUAGGUAUAAUUCAUGAGCAAAGUAAAAGAGGAGAGGUCAAAGAAGGAAGAGACUUUAGGAAAACACACGCUUAAGAGAAGGGCCAGGUGGGUUGAAAUUUUGUAUAUUUCUUACUCCAUAUUAAUAUAUGAGAUAAAGGAAGAUUGAUGGAUCCAAGACAAGCAUGAGAAGAUGGAAUCCAGAGUAUAAGGUGGAGAAUUAGCUUUAAACUGAAGGACAUAAAGACAUCUCACAUUCUUUAACUAGAGAAGGGGAAAAGUUGAGGCAGAGAUACUUGUAGGUGGGAGAUAAAUCAUCAGAUCUUCAGCUGAACGAUUCAUCCGUCUGUCCUUUCAUUCAUUCAACACUUACCAUACGCCCCUUACCUGGAGCAAGGGACGCAACAAAAAAUCAGAUAACAGUCCAUGUUCUCAAGCAAAUGGAAGAGAUGGAAAAGUAACAAAUAAGAUAUAACAUUGUGAUAUAUAUGUGUAUAUAUGCAAUUAAUGAAAUGCUUAAUGGGACUUCA
rnacentral:lncRNA from 1 species